GAGUUUGAUCUCGUUUAAGAAUGAACGCUGGCGGCGUGCUUAACACAUGCAAGUCGAACGGUAACAGAGGAAGCUUGCUUCCUGCUUCCGAGUGGCGCACGGGUGAGUAAUAUAUAGGUUACGUGCCUCUUAGACUGGGAUAGCCACUGGAAACGGUGAUUAAUACUAGAUACUCCUACUUGUAGGGAAAGCUUUUGCGCUAAGAGAUCGGCCUAUACUGUAUCAGCUUGUUGGUGGGGUAAUGGCCUACCAAGGCAAUGACACAUAGCGGGUUUGAGAGGAUGAUCCGCCACACUGGUACUGAGACACGGACCAUAUUCCUACGGGAGGCAGCAGUGAGGAAUAUUGCACAAUGGAGGAAACUCUGAUGCAGCAACGCCGCGUGGAGGAUGACGCAUUUCGGUGUGUAAACUCCUUUUAACAGGGAAGACAUGACGGUACCUGUUGAAUAAGCGCCGGCUAACUCCGUGCCAGCAGCCGCGGUAAUACGGAGGGCGCAAGCGUUAUUCGGAAUCACUGGGCGUAAAGGACGCGUAGGCGGGUUAUUAAGUCAGGUGUGAAAUCCUACAGCUUAACUGUAGAACUGCACUUGAAACCGAUAACCUAGAGUAUGGAAGGGGCAGAUGGAAUUAGUGGUGUAGGGGUAAAAUCCGUAGAUAUCACUAGGAAUACCGAAAGCGAAGGCGAUCUGCUGGGACAUUACUGACGCUAAGGCGUGAAAGCGUGGGGAGCAAACAGGAUU
rnacentral:rRNA from 1 species